rnacentral:tRNA from 1 species
AUUAAAGUGACAGAGUUUAAAUGUGAGGAAUUUAAGCUUCCUUUAUGAAGUUUUCCUUUAAUA